AGGUGACUCAGCUAAUUAGCACCAGAAAAUCAGCUUCAGAAAUCUCAGGUCACUGAUCUUUCUACUACAAAGAUUUUACAACAGAAACUUUUCAGGCCAGAGAGUGAAUGGGAUGACAUGUUUAAAAUAUUGAAAAUGUUCAUUUUUAAGGCAUACCCUUAAGAUACAGAAGAUGUGCCAGUGAAGAGUUGAACCAUUGCUGAU